GACGAACGCUGGCGGCGUGCUUAACACAUGCAAGUCGAGCGGUAAGGCCCUUUCGGGGGUACACGAGCGGCGAACGGGUGAGUAACACGUGGGUGACCUGCCCUCAGCUCUGGGAUAAGCCUGGGAAACCGGGUCUAAUACCGGAUAUGACUCCAUGACGCAUGUUGUGGGGUGGAAAGCCUUGUGCGGCUGAGGAUGGGCCCGCGGCCUAUCAGCUUGUUGGUGGGGUGAUGGCCUACCAAGGCGACGACGGGUAGCCGGCCUGAGAGGGCGACCGGCCACACUGGGACUGAGACACGGCCCAGGCUCCUACGGGAGGCAGC
rnacentral:rRNA from 1 species